rnacentral:lncRNA from 1 species
ACAGCCCCAGGUCUGCGGGGACGGCAGUGGACGCUCAGACCCCGCACCGCGGGAGGGGGGCGUGGGGGGAUGGGGGGCGCGGGGAGGGCAGGGGGAUACGGGGACAUGGGGACAUGGGGAUGAGGGACAUGAGGACAUUGGGAUAUGGGGACAUUGGGAUGAGGGGCAAGAGAACACUGGGAUAUGGGGACAAGGGACAUGGGGACAUUGGGACAUGGGGACACAGGGACACGGGGGCAUUGGGAUGAGGGGCAUGGACACAAGGGACAGGGGGACAUGGGGACAGGAGAUGUGGGGACAUGGGGAUGAGGGACGUGAGAACAUACGGAUAUGGGGACAAGGGACGUGGGGAUGUGGGACAUGGGGACAUGGGGACACGGGGACACAGGGACACGGGGACAUGGGGACACAGGGACAGGAGAUGUGGGGACAUUGGGAUGAGAACAUAAGAACAUUGGGAUAUGGGGACAAGGGACAUGCGGACACAGACAUGGGGGCAUUGGGAUGACGGGCAUGGACACAAGGGAUGUGGGGACACAGGGACAUGGGGACAUAGGACAUGAGAACAUGGGGACAAGAGGUGUGGGGACAUUGGGAUGAGGGAAAUGGACACAAGGGACAUGGGGACGAGGGACAUGGAGAUAUGGGGACACAGGGAUGAGGGGCAUGAGAACAUUGGGAUGCAGGGACAAGGGACAUGGGGACGUGUGCAUGCAGAGGACAAGAACACAGGGACAGGAUGGGGACACGGGGACAAGAGACACGGAAGCAGGUACGUGCAGGGGAUGGGGACAAGGGACACAAGUGUGCAAGGGACAGGGGGACAAGGGAGUGCGCGUGUGCAUGGGACAGGGACAUGGGGACAUGGGGACAUGGGGACAUGGGGACACGGCAGCUCGUACAUGCAUGGAGGGGACACGGGGACAGGACAGGGACAGGAUGGGGACAUGGGGACAAAGUGUCCCCAUGCAAAGCAUCCCUGUGCAAAGUGUCCCCAUGCGAUUGUCCCCGUGCCACUGUCCCUGUGCAAAGCGUCCCCAUGCAAAGUGUCCCUGUGCUGGCAUCCCUGUGCCACUGUCCCCAUGUAAUUGUCCCUGUCCCCGUGCCACUGUCCCCAUGGCAGUGUCCCCAUGCAACGUGUCCCUGUGUCACUGUCCCCAUGUCAUUGUCCCUGUCCCCAUGCCACCGCCCCCAUGCAAAGUGUCCCCAUGUCACUGUCCUUGUCUAAUUGUCCCCAUGGAAUUGUCCCCGUGCAACACGUCCCCGUGCCACUGUCCCUGUGUAAUUGUCCCUGUCCCUGUGUCCCCGUCCCCAUGCAAAGUGUCCCCAUGUCACUGUCCUUGUCUAAUUGUCCCCAUGGAAUUGUCCCCGUGCAACGUGUCCCCAUGCCACUGUCCCUGUGUCAUUGUCCCCGUCCCGGUGUCCCCGUCCCAGUGUCCCCAUCCCGGUGUCCCCAUCCCGGUGUCCCCGUCCCCGUCCCGGUGUCCCCGUCCCAGUGUCCCCAUCCCGGUGUCCCCGUCCCCGUCCCAGUGUCCCCAUCCCGG